GACGAACGCCGGCGGCGUGCUUAACACAUGCAAGUCGAACGAAAAUACCAAGCUUGCUUGGUUGAUUAGUGGCGAACGGGUGAGUAACACGUGAGUAAACCUGCCCCUUACUUUCCUGGAUAACUGCUCGAAAGGGUAGCUAAUACGGGAUAUUCUGACCAUCCUGCAUGGGUUGGUUUGGAAAGGUUGUUUUUCUGGUAAGGGAUGGGCUCGCGGCCUAUCAGCUUGUUGGUGGGGUGAUGGCCUACCAAGGCUUUGACGGGUAGCCGGCCUGAGAGGGUGGACGGUCACACUGGGACUGAGAUACGGCCCAGACUCCUACGGGAGGCAGCAGUGGGGAAUAUUGCACAAUGGGCGCAAGCCUGAUGCAGCGACGCCGCGUGAGGGAUGAAGGCCUUCGGGUUGUAAACCUCUUUCGUCAGGGAACAAGGCACUGUCUUUUUGGUGGUGUUGAGGGUACCUGGAUAAGAAGCGCCGGCUAACUACGUGCCAGCAGCCGCGGUAAUACGUAGGGCGCAAGCGUUGUCCGGAAUUAUUGGGCGUAAAGAGCUCGUAGGCGGCUGGUCGCGUCUGUCGUGAAAACUUCCGGCUCAACCGGGGGCUUGCGGUGGGUACGGGCCGGCUAGAGUGCGGUAGGGGUAACUGGAACUCCUGGUGUAGCGGUGGAAUGCGCAGAUAUCAGGAAGAACACCGAUGGCGAAGGCAGGUUACUGGGCCGUUACUGACGCUGAGGAGCGAAAGCGUGGGGAGCGAACAGG
rnacentral:rRNA from 1 species